rnacentral:lncRNA from 1 species
GAUAGAUAGAAACCCAGAAGAUACAAAGGGAUCGGAAGAGUUAUAAUCAAUUGACACAUGGCAUUUAUGGAGUUACCUAGAAUGAUACUUGUCACUAUUUGGUCAUUUGUAGGAGCAUUCAACUGAAUCAAUGCAAAAGCCGAGCACCAGAUUAAGUAGGUUCCGAGUCGUUCUUCUUUUUAUUUGGACAAUCCCCUGCUAAAUGCCCAUGUCAUCCAUAAGUGAAUCAGACUCCCAUCUUCUUAAAACAAGGCCCCCCAUGAGUCUUGCCACAGUAGGUACAUGCCUCAAA